GAAGGGGGCUAGCGUUGCUCGGAAUUACUGGGCGUAAAGGGAGCGUAGGCGGAUAGUUCAGUCAGAGGUGAAAGCCCAGGGCUCAACCUUGGAACUGCCUUUGAUACUGGCUAUCUUGAGUUUGGGAGAGGUGUGUGGAACUCCGAGUGUAGAGGUGAAAUUCGUAGAUAUUCGGAAGAACACCAGUGGCGAAGGCGACACACUGGCCCAAUACUGACGCUGAGGCUCGAAAGCGUGGGGAGCAAACAGGAUUAGAUACCCUGGUAGUCCACGCCGUAAACGAUGAGUGCUAGUUGUCGGCAGGCAUGCCUGUCGGUGACGCAGCUAACGCAUUAAGCACUCCGCCUGGGGAGUACGGUCGCAAGAUUAAA
rnacentral:rRNA from 1 species